rnacentral:rRNA from 1 species
UACGUAGGCAGCGAGCGUUGUUCGGAAUUACUGGGCGUAAAGAGUGUGUAGGCGGUGCUCUAAGUUCGGUGUGAAAUCUCCUGGCUCAACUGGGAGGGUGCGCCGGAAACUGGAGUGCUUGAGCGUGGGAGAGGAAAGCGGAAUUCCUGGUGUAGCGGUGAAAUGCGUAGAUAUCAGGAGGAACACCAGUGGCGAAGGCGGCUUUCUUGGUCUGUAACUGACGCUGAGGCGCGAAAAGCGUGGGGGAGCAAACAGGA